GCUCCGCGGCAGCGCAGCACCCACCCCCGCCCCCCACCCCGCCCCCCUGGGCCUCCUCCCCUCGCCGGCUCCCAGGCUUCGGCCCCGGCCCGUGGGCGGGUUGGCGGGCGGGCGUCUGGGCGGGCGGUCCCCCGCUCCUCGCGCUCUGGGCGUGCGAGCUUCGGGAGGAGCUGGACUGCAGCGAGGGUGCGUGUGUGGCCCCGACACCCUUUUCUCCGGCCCCACGCCCGCCCCGAUGCUGCGCGUCCCUGCCCUGGCCCUCGCCGGCAGCCACGACAGUGGUCGUGGAGCCAACCGGAGCCACCCUCCGGGCGAGGAAAGUGAAGUGGAAACAAUGUGAAAUUCACCAGCUCUGAAAUCAACAAGCUGCCGGCUCCAGUGUUACGGAGCCAGCACCAGCGUCUCCAUUUAAAGGGACAGCGCACCCAGUGGAAAGGAAAAUAAAUAAGUGACAGAGGUCUGCGCGCCUGUGUCACUUGCCAACCCGUUCUUGGGAAGACGCGCGAGUUAAAAGUUGAGUACCCACUAUUUGCCAGAUGGAGUGACAGCAUGUGACAGCGAUAGCCAAAAGACAUGGCUCCAGCAAUGGAGUUAGACUUACAUGACAAGGCAAGUUCAAUCUAAGUCAUAGUCCUUUAAGCAGUAUAGAGUCUCAGAGGUGGUUUUAGUGUUUAUGGGGUAUAUCACUAACACUUGGCCCAUUUGCUCUGAGAAACAAAGGUUAUCUUCCGCCCUAGUUCUCCGAAAUCUCUCUUCCCAUCGUCCCUGAUUUACAUCAGGUCUUUUUCACUUUCUUACCUGAGUUCUCAUGGCCAAGAAUACAAAUUGUUUUGUUAGACAUGGAAGGAAGUACAGGCUUUUCCAGACCUUCUCCUAUAAAAUGGUAAUAAUAAUAAUUCUUGUCUCACAGGAAUUAUUACAUGAGAUAAAGCAGGUCAAGCACUUAGUACAAGGACUGAUGGAGAUACAGAGGAAGUUGAAGAGAGAAAGAAAACAAUUAUCAGAAGAUGUUAAAGAGUGAGCCUUGAAAUAAAAAUGCAUCUCUCUAGGAUUUUGACAGAUGAACAAAGGUCAGUGGAGUCUACCAUCUAAAUAAGCAUUAAGAUCAGCUUUCCCUUUGCUGGCUCUUGAAACAUCAAACAGAACAGGGUAACAGCCUGCAUUUCCAAACUGCCGUCACACUUAGAGGUAGAAUUUGCCCCUCUACUCCCAACUCCAGAAUUUUAUUAGCAUGUGAAAUAAGUCUUCAUCUUGCUUCUCUGGAGCUGUUUGUUGUUAAAUACAGCUCUGAAGUUCUGUGGCAAAUUCUCAGCCAUGAAUAACUGGGCUGUGCAGAGCAUGCAUUAAAAAUAGCAAGCUCCACAUCCACAUGAUGGAUUAACAAAAUAUAAUUUUAAACAAAGAUUCUCUGGUCUGACGGAGAUUUAAAUAGCAGCCUAGGCUACAAGAUCUGGCCUUCUUGGGCAGCUGGAUUUUCAAUGAAAGUCUAACAAAUAGAAGUGGCCUGGGUUUUUUAUGAUUUGAAGAUACAGGCAGGAAAAAGAGAGGCAA
ensembl:lncRNA